UUAAGACUUUUGUUAUUCAAUUGAUAUCACACCCUCUCCUCCUAAGACUCAUUACUAUUUCAGAAGAGGAGCUGAAAAGACUGUAAGAGCCAGAAGCAGCAGAGGACAAGGAAAGAGAGUUCACUGAACACAGCAAGGGGCUGCUCAUGUGAGCUGGCAGCAGUUGAGAGACCCAGGGAGAACUGUGCAGGCCCAAGCCAGACAAGGGUCCGGCAUGGAGAAGGAAGGUGGCCACGAAGUCCCAGUCCUGUCUAGGAGUUAUUGGUGACUGACAGCUGCUGGGAGGAGAUGUGGCCUCUGGAUGGGUGAUGGUUGAGAAACGUGGCUGCCUGGAUGUGUUCCUUAGCCACCUCCCCUCAUCACUGUGGCACGGAAUAGAUGAGUCCGGCAGCUCAACAGCAUGAAGCACUGCCUUAGAAGAAGAGCGGGGGUCCCAUUUCUCUUCCUGAUGGAGAACGUUAGAACGUUAGAAUGGAUCCAGGAGGAUUCAUCCUGUUGAUCUCAUUCUCCUUGAAUCCCCUCAUCAGAGACCCCAGCUCCAAACAUAGUCACAUUCAGAGACUUGAGAGAAUAGAAUUUCUGCAUGUGAAUUUUGACAGAACAUGAUUCAGCUGAUCCAAAACACACUGGAGACAUUGGCAGGCACCACUCCUUCAAGGCUGAAUCCAAGAAGAGGGAGUAGAUGGCGGCAGUGUGGGGGUGUAAGAAUUGGAUCAGCCCAGGAUGAUGAAGAGGGCAAAAAGAAAGAGCUUUCAAAUAAAAGAUACUGUCUUCUUCAGCUGCAGUCUGCACUUUCAAAGGCAUAAAAAAUAUAAGAUCAGGGGAGUCACAGAGUCUUGACCCAUGGUUUAGAAGAGUCACCAAGGCCAGGCAAUGAGCAGCAGGGCCAGUGUUCCUGAAAGGAGGCCCUGAGAGGCAACUGCAUGAAGGUGAGUAUGAAGCCUAGGUUGCAAUGGAGACCUCAGGAUGUUAAAGAUGUCAGGACCGUGGUACAUUCACCAAAGAUAUUCCCAGGCAUUGAAUGGAGCUAGUCCAAGAGAGAGUCUACAUAUGCUGCGGACAGAAAAGCUGUAGGAAAAAGGCUAGAAGCUUUUUGCUACCCAGGCAAUUUCAUCAUGAGACUCAGAUGCAAGUUAUGAAGAUGCAGGAUUUGGUGUUAGCUCUAUUAGAUUUUGGUCUUGCUUUGGUCUGAUCUGUGAUAAUGUAUUUUCUGAAAAAUAUCUUCCUUCAAAGAGACUGAAAUUUUGCCAGACUUUGCAACCAUAAUAGUGACAUGCCUUGAGAUGACUGAUGACUAUACUCUUAAUCUGUUCUGCUGUCCUGCUGUGUACUUGGCCUCUUUAAAUUUAACCUGCAUUAGAGAGAACAAUGCAAUCAACCCUACUAUGCCUUGGAUUUCCAAUAUUUUACAACCUAAGCUAAAUGCAUAGAGUUCACCUUAAACUGUGUAUUUUUUUGUGUGUCCAUAACCCAGAAUAAUUGCAUUUUUGUAUUAUGAGAUGAAGAUGAGAUUUUUGCAGGGGAGGAUAGAAGAUUAUAUGAUUUAAAGUGAUAUAAGUGGGUAUCAAGUUGAUAAGGAGUGGAGUUGAGAUAGUUAAUCUCAAGCGUCAACUCCCUGAGGUAUAGAAUCACCUGGGAGACUGUCUCCAGUCAUGCCUGGAGUUGGAAAGUCUGCCUGCUGUGGGUGGUACCAUAUGGGACUCUGGAAUGUGUAAAAAGCAGAAAGUGACCUAAACACAAGCAUCAAUCUCUGCUUCUUGACCAUUGAUUUAAUGUGACUAAAUGCCUCAAGCUUCUACUUUUUUUGCUGUCUCACCAUGUGGAUGGAGCUUGGAACUGUGAACUAAAAUAAACUUUCUCCCUUAUGUUGCUUUUUUAUCACAGGAGCAGGAGAAAUAAUUAAGACAGGAGCUAGCUGUCUCAGUUAGGGUUUCUAUUGCUAUGAAGAGACACCAUAACCAUGGCAACAUUUAAAAACAUUUAAUUGGGAUGGCUCACUUAAUGGUUCAGUCCAUUAUCAUCAUGAAGAGGAGCAUGGUGGUGUGCAGGCAGAUGUGGUGCUGGAGAUGAGAGUGCUAUAUCUUGUAGAGAAUAGGAAGUUGACUGACUGUCACACUAAGGGAAGCUUGAGCAAAAGAGACCACAAAGCCCACCCCCACAGUUACACACUUCCUCCAACAAGUUCACACCUUCUAAUAGUGCCUUUCCUUUUGGGGGCAUUUUCUUUCAAACCACCACACUAUGUUACAAUUAAAAGAAUUCUGAGGACAAAUUCCACCAAACUAAUAACCAUUUAUUAACAAAACGACCCCCAUGUGAGCACGUAACUGAUGCAUCACUUAGAGAAAUCCUAUCUUUGCAUAAAUACACUGAUCACCACCUUUCAGGAUAAGCUUACCCAUGUGCUGAGGUUCUGAGUAACAUUAAUUCAACUCUAGAGGAGAAUGCUUUUUUCAUUUGUCCAGGAGAUACAGAAACAUAGGACCAAGGGGACCCUGGACUUUUUUCAUUACUCCAUCCAUAAUUCCAUCAUUAUUCCAUGUAAAUUUCAUCAUUUCUACCCAUAAAUAAUAAAUCCUCU